GGGCUUGUCUCCUAGCCAGGCAAGGGAGGCGGACUCUUAAUCCGCUCGUACCGCGAGUUCGAUUCUCGCCAAGCCCACCA
rnacentral:tRNA from 1 species